CCAUGGCAUUUCCCUUAUAUACAUGUUUUAUUUCUUAUUUAUUUCUUAUUUAUUUAUUUACUUUAUUUACUCAUUUAUUUUUAUAUAUUUAUAUAUUUAUCCUUCACGUGUGGUUUUAAUAUAUUAUGCAUGCUUUUAUCCUAAAUUAUUGACUAUCUGUUAUUUAUAAUUAUAUUUCUCUUGUCUUUUAAUUUAAUUAAUCUAUUUUAACUCUUGCCAUGGUGGAGACAUACCCUCCGGAUGAGGUCCUCCCACCCUACAGGCAGACGAGGCCCAUUUUGGACUCCCAACCUUUCCUUUAAACCCCCCCACCCCCUUUUUUUCUCCUCCUUUUAACUCCCCGAUGGGACUGCGGGUUGCUGAUCAGUGUUUGCUUGCAUUACCUCACCCUCUUAGUCUUCCCGUCACCUCAAUUGUCCUUAGUUUAAGCUUCAUAUCCACGUCACAUGUACCUAAUUCAAAUUGGGAGCCUUUUGUUGGAUCAACGUAUUGAUAUAUUUUUUCACAAACAUGUUAAUUGUUUGAUUUAAAUAUUUCUAAAAUGGCAGUCAUGAAUCCUACCUGGACUUCCACUAGGGAGUAUUCCUAUGUAUCAUGUUCAACAGUAAUACAUUGACCAGUCAGAAAGCACUGAUUUAUUGAGGACUACUGUGAAAAGGUGAGGUGAAAUUCUAUUAUUCCUGGAUUCUUUGGAUUGCAACGUAUCUAUGAGUCUUAGCCUCACUUAUUAUCUACCUAGAUUUUCCACUUUUUUUUCCAAAACUCUGUUUAUUGACUUUUGUUAAUUUUCAGAAAACAGAUCACAAAACAUCCAGUGACACCACAUUCUGGUUAAAAUGGGAAAUGUAACUAGUAGGCCUAUGAUGUACAGUAACAGUUAUCUAGCAUAUAAACAAUAUGGGUUUGAGCAACCAAACGGCUCAUGAGAAAUCAGAAACUUCUAUCAAAAAUAAACCAAGCUUUGAAAAUUGUCUUUGAAAACAAUGACAUAUGUGGUAAGCCUGUGACAUGAAAAGUGGCACCGCACAAAACCUGGAUUCGCCCCUGGUAAUAUGGCCUUGGAGGGGGCUGCCACCCUUUUAGACACGCCCCUGCCAGUAGCCUAUCCUGUCAAUUCAGCACAUCAAUAACAUGACUGCUAACAUUUUUGACCCUAUAUAAUAACUAUUUAGCUUCCAUUUUCGGUAAAAUAUGUCAAAAUAAAGUUAAAACCUGAUGGGUUACAUCCGGAACUAAAGAGCCCGCCUGUUUGUUUUCGCCCGGACAGUGUCAGAGUCGAACUAAACACCUCAGUCGAAGCAUGAGUGAAAGAUGCUUCAUGACUUAACGUUCUGAACUGCCUCUGCCUCAGUGUCCACACGUUUUUUCUUUUGUAUCGAGCUCGGUUUCCUGAGUUGUUGUAGUCAGUUGUUUUUUACUCAGUCAGUGCGUCACGUGUUGAACGCAGCGAGCAACCAAAGCAGCAGAGUUACCCUGGAGAGCUCAAACAAGUGGCAGGCUAACGAGUCAUGCUCCUGGUGGACCCCGGUUUGUACAUCGGCACUGCGGCCGACCUGAAUGACAGCCAGGCAUUGUCCGA